AUGUUUGUAUUUUGCACUUGCCCGGAGGUGUUUCACGGGAAGUGAGCAUUUUUUAAAACAAAAAUAGAAUUUAGAAAAAAAAAAGGCAGACACGAUGGAUUUCUAGUGUUGUACGUGCUGUAGAAAGCACUUGAAAAUGCGUUUUGCCAGGGGCCGCAACCAGAAGCUACAUGACUUCUGGAAUCUGUUCCUUACACAGUAAAUUCCUGGGCCAGUUGGUAAACAGCAAGGAGCCACAAGAAAUCACUCAUAGGCAAAAGCCGAGUGAGCCCAGGCCAAGCUCCACUUUGUCCACUUUGCCCUAUUUUUGGAAUUCAGGGGGAAACAUCUUGGGAGCAGGCCCAUUGCACCCCUCUGCCUCCUCUCGAUGCCUUACAGUUGGUGGGGUUUGACACAUGGAAAAUUGUGAAAGUUAGAACACGGAACAAAAAUGAAGCCUCAACAUAGAGUUAAUAGAGGCAAGGGGCUACAGAGAAUUUAGAUCCUAAUCAAGCACGUCUUAUGUACUAGCGCUUCCCUGGAAGGCCAGGAUAACUUUAUGACUACAAAGAAAACAUGUUUUCCUGCUUGGAAGUUGCCAGAACUUGUCUAAUAUAAAAGCUGGGAUUUCUUGCCCGUGGGCUGUCGCGUACGGCUACCCAGGCCGCCUCGUGAAGCCUCCUCCUGGGAGCUCGGCGCCCUCAGGUGCUCCCUGAGAUGCCAGCACCUGAACGACCUGCUCCAGGGAGGCUUUAGCCCCAAGAAGGUUCUGGAAAGCUCCAGGAAGUUUAGCCGGCACGCACAAAAGCCAGAGACAAAUCUCCAGCCUGCCUGGAAAUGCUGUGGGCUCAGGGCAAUGGGCUGAGGUCUUGUGUCCAAAACUGCUCUUGCAUCUCCCUGGGGAGCCCGGGUGGGCAGGAACAACAAGGUCCUGUGGCCAUGCCCUCGCCCCAUGCUCACCCACACUGCCUGUGCCUGCUGGGCCCAUCUCAGGGCUGCACUGGCCCCUAGUGGCCAAGCAUGGGCUCUACCCCUCUGCGCCUGCCUGGCUGCCUGUGCAGGUGCCCACCACACUGUCCCUGAGCAGAGCAGAGACCAGCCUGAGCCCCGGGCUCCGUGGCUACCAUGCUGAGAGUGAGCCCUGUGCAUGCACACACACUUACGAUGCUGCUGGCCCCGAGCAGUGGCCGGCCACACGGGCUGCUAGUCAUACUGCCCGCUGCUCCUGGGACUCCUGAGCCCCUCACUCUCUAUAGGGUGAGGAUGCCCAGCUCUGCAAGACACACAGCAAACGGAGCCUCAGAGUGCACAGCGUGGAGAUGGGGCUCCCCCCACAGGCUGCACCCCCAUCUAGUCCCGGGGAACGAGAAUGAAGGGCCUACCUGAGCACACAAGCCCCAGGAGGGCAUGGGAGCUGCAUUUGGGGGCAGUGACUGGGAGGGCUGCUGACUCCAGGCUCAGAUUAAAAGACAGACGGCAACACUGGGGUUGCAGAGCUCAGGAGCCAGUCCUGGCCCCCUGCCUCCUCCCUCAUGAGGUUCCCCUGAUCCCCAGGACAUCGGCUUCCACAUCUGCACAUCUGGGAGACAAAUGCACCAUCAGGGAGGGCAAAUCAUACCUGGGAAGGGCCUGACUCCAGCAGUUUCAGCAGUGGCUGAAAGAUCAUGGCUAUUUUUGCCAUCAUUACAAUGGAAUGUCCACUCCCUCCAGCCACCUCCACAGCAAUCAACACCGGUGUCCAGCCACUCUACAUGGACGUGUGGGGAACAGAGCACAGGCCUCUUGGCUUGGCUGUGGUCACCGGGAGGGAGCAGGGAGGGACAGCUGCCAAGAGGAUGGGGGAGGGAGCCUGCUACUCAGGAACGCUGGGGCAAGACAUGAGACAAAGGGCUGCCUUCACCCACCAGUAGGAGCCUGACCCUGAGCCCAAAGAAACUGCCCACCUGUGUGCUGACCCCAGGGCCUGAGGACAGGUCCCCAAGUGGACGUCUCAAAGAGAGUCCCACAUUCCAGGGCACAUGGGAACUAUGGCCUUCUGGCAGCUGGAGGGCAGCAGGAAGGGCACAGCUGUCUGAGACCCGUGUGGCUUCCCAGAAAGAGGUGCCACCCCUGAGGAGGCACCGGUGCUCACGGACUCCUGGUUGCCAGUCUUGCCAGGGCAAAAAGGCAAGCGAAGGAAACCCUCUCUUCGUGGGGCACUCUGCCUUGCAGUGUCAGGUGAGAUCCCGGGGGGAAAGCUGGCUUGAGCUCCUCUGGAAUGUGCAGGGAGGACUCCGUCAGGCCCGGCUCUGCCUCCAAGCUGGGCAGCAGGCGAGCCCCAGAGCUCCACCAGCCCCACUGGCAGAGGAGGGCCCUCACGAGGCAGGAGCCCAUGAUUCAUGCCCUGCUGGAAUUUGUCGAGCAUGCCGAGAUUUGCAGCUCCUCCGAGAUUGGGUCCUGCCCUGAUCAAAAGAAAAGAAGAUGGAUGAGGACACUAUAAAUAGGCCAGAGCCACCCAGCUGGCCUCGGGGAUGCAGGCGGUAUGUGUUCUGGGCUCUCACGAAGCUAAGAAACUCUAAAUCCAAGGUGACAUCGUGGCACACCGCCACCUGCUUCAGGGGGACACAGGGGACAAGGAGGAGCUAUUGGCAGAGCGCUCGGUUCCUGCAAGUUCCAACUUCUGCUAAAAUUGGUUAAUUGGUUCCUUUGCAUGAUUCAGGGCACACAGGCUUCUCUGUCCACAAAAUUUGCUCGCCUGCACACCCAGAGAAAUGGACUUGGCUUGGUUUUUCUGAACUUUUGCCUCUGCGGAAUCAGCAGUGGACGUGUGAGCUGGGGCCUCUGUCCCUGUCAUGUGAGGAGGUCAGGCAGGACAAGCAGGAAGCACUGGGCAAUGAGUCAGGAGGCCUGGUGGGGAGCUUGGGUGAGUCUGUUUUCCUCUCUGGACCUCAGUCUUCUCCUCUGGUUGAUGUAAUAAAAUCCUACAAACUG
rnacentral:lncRNA from 1 species